UACAGAGGUCUCAAGCGUUGUUCGGAUUCAUUGGGCGUAAAGGGUGCGUAGGCGGCGCGGUAAGUCGGGGUGUGAAAUCUCGGAGCUUAACUCCGAAACUGCAUUCGAUACUGCCGUGCUUGAGGACUGGAGAGGAGACUGGAAUUUACGGUGUAGCGGUGAAAUGCGUAGAUAUCGUAAGGAAGACCAGUGGCGAAGGCGGGGUCUCUGGACAGUUUCCUGACGCUGAGGCACGAAGGUCAGGGGAGCAAACGGG
rnacentral:rRNA from 1 species